rnacentral:lncRNA from 1 species
AUGCUCGAAGGGAACAUGCCCUCUUUUUCAGCAAAGAGCAACAUUGAUGAUUGGGCUAAAACCCAGUGGAGACAGAUUAAUGUGGAACAGAUGGAUGUGCAGCUCAGAAGCUUUGCCAAAGUCAGGAUUUUAGUAGCAGAAGGUACUACCUUGACAGACCUUCUGGAACUCUACCUUCAUAAAGUAGAAGAUGAAGCCCAAUGUAUUGACAAUGCUGUGAAAGAGUUGUGUACUGAAAAGGUGACAGGUGCCCAUUUUUUUCCUUCUGUUUUUUGUUUUUUUUUUUUAGAAUAAUACU